ACGAACGCUGGCGGCGUGCUUAACACCUGCCAGUCGAACGGAAAGGCCCUGCUUUUGUGGGGUGCUCGAGUGGCGAACGGGUGAGUAACACGUGAGUAACCUGCCCUUGACUUUGGGAUAACUUCAGGAAACUGGGGCUAAUACCGGAUAGGAGCUCCUGCUGCAUGGUGGGGGUUGGAAAGUUUCGGCGGUUGGGGAUGGACUCGCGGCUUAUCAGCUUGUUGGUGGGGUAGUGGCUUACCAAGGCUUUGACGGGUAGCCGGCCUGAGAGGGUGACCGGCCACAUUGGGACUGAGAUACGGCCCAGACUCCUACGGGAGGCAGCAGUAGGGAAUAUUGCACAAUGGGCGGAAGCCUGAUGCAGCAACGCCGCGUGCGGGAUGACGGCCUUCGGGUUGUAAACCGCUUUCGCCUGUGACGAAGCGUGAGUGACGGUAAUGGGUAAAGAAGCACCGGCUAACUACGUG
rnacentral:rRNA from 1 species